UACAAAUAUCCACGUUAAAAAACCGAAAGUGCAAAAUUGUGUUCAUAGCUCUUACCGUUGCAGUAAAUCGUUUACGCUGAUCGCGAUGGCAGAUACAGCUAACAACGUUUCAUUCGUUACUCAUGCUAUCUUUCCCGUGCAUUGUGCUUACUGGGAUUGCGCGCUGGACGUCGAAAAGCUUCAUCGAAAUCAUCACGGUUAUUCUACAUAUUCUCCUUGGCGUGUUUGCUUACUGGCAUAGCAGGAGCAACUGACAUAUAUCUCCAAAAACCACUCGAAGGAAAUCAAACAAAACCUCUUUAGUAAUCGUUUCGAUGUUUGUAACCUUUAACUCCAGCGGGAGCUUUAUUCUGUGUUAUUUUCGGAGACGUUCGAAGGCGCUUGUUACAAUUGACAAAAAUCUUGGAUCUUAUUAUUUUGUCGAGUUACUGAAUGUCUUCGAAACGCUUGAAGCAGACAUUCUCCUGGUUCAGGGCAUUGGCUGCUGUUUACGCUACAGUAUUUAAUUAUCCGCUAUAGUACGUUUACUCAUUGCAUCCGAUAAACAUGCGAAACUCUUUGAUGUCUCCAUGCCAGCGCCUUUCUUCGUUGCGUUUGUUCCCUUGACUUUUGCGGGCAGUAUCAUGGUCCUGGUUUCUGUUGUGUUUUCUUUCUAUAGCAUCACACUGAGUUUGGCUUUCGGCAAAAUCAGUCGAUUUCUAGAUGAACAAUUUCGACAAUACAGCGAAGGUGUUAUAACUGUAGCAGAAUUCAAGAAAGAUUUGAGAAGGAUUGGCCGGGAACAUCGUUGCUUUAGUGGUGAUGAUACAUAUUGUAACCGGCAAUGCGUCUUUCUCAUUCGGAUACCUUUUUCGUUAUGACUGGAUCAAUAUAAUCGGUUCCGUUACGCCGGCGCUUGGAAGUUUUAUAGUUGUGCUGGUGCCUUUAAUAAUGGCCAGUUGUACUAACAUUCAGGCGCACGGUAUUGUCGACAUCUUCCUCACUAUUUUGAUUUUUGGAAUAUCGAAGAGAAAGGGAGGGCUGUGAUGCGUGGCAGUUAACUGACACUAUACGAAGACUGCAUGAAAGACCGAUCCGAUUCACUGUUUCGAAGAUUUUGAGUAUUAAUACGGAUUUUAUUGUUACGAUGGUGGGAAUGGUCAUUACGUACAUACAUAGUGCUGCUGCGGGAAUUGACGGGACGCGGCGAAAAAGUGUGCAGCUGCUCCUGCGGAGUUCUCGUUAAUGGUUCUACUUUGCGCGCGUGAUUUACUGAUGAGUUACUGAAUAAUGGAUUUAAAUUUACAUUGCACAACGCCCAGGCUAUCUCUUUUGGAUGGAAUCGAACAGGAAGUGUACGGUAUACACAUAUGAAUGACACUUUGCUCUUGCAGCACUUUUCCUGAGAAUCGUUGACGGCAGCGAGCAACCUCACUUAUGUUGUGCAAAGUGCAAACUGGGGCUUAAGAGUGCGCUUAAACAGCCGGUACACGUACGAUUUAUUUCACUAGAAUCUGGAUAAUGGUCCCUGGAAUGGCUCAAAGUUAUUCGCGAUCGUCAACGAUCUGCUUUCCUGCUGGUAUUUUUUCCUUUUUGGUAUGAAUUAUGUCGAAUAAAGAUCAUGAUGUCCUGCUGCGCGAGUACGUCAAAUCGGUACACGAUACGCGAUGCCGUUUAGUGCUUGUGUUUCUUCCUGUCCCUUUCGCUCCUUCUCAUCCGAGAUUGUCAUUGUCAGUUUUAAUAGC